ensembl:lncRNA
GUCAGCUAGAAACAGAAAUGAGGAGGUAGAGUACAGGAAAGUGGCGUUGUGUUCAGUUAAGACUUUGUGGAAAGAAUUAUUACUAUAAUUUACAGUGUGUACAGACCCGAGUCUACAUGAUGCUGCAUUGUCUGUCCUUACACCACUUAAUAGUUCUGCUCUUAAUGGUAGUCAUAACAGAAUGUACAGAGACCCAGAGACCUUGUGAAGAGCAGGAGGUUGAGCAAUAUGGAGCCAAAGGACAAAGUACAUUUCUACACUGCUUCACCACAGAUCAAGAAACAGCCACUCUAAAUAUAACACUUUACAGACAAGAAGGAAGUGAAUCAAACAAGCUGUUAUAUCCCGCUAGUAGCCUAACAGUGGAGCAGCAGAGACUGUCUCUUCAGAAGGACUCGGGCAAAGUGAUGUUUGUGUUGCAUAAUCUGAGCUUCUCUGAUGGUGGUCAGUAUAAAUGUGAGGUUCACAAGAACCAAAACUGCCUAAUAAUCAAAACAUUUUUUCUAAAAAUUAAAGAAUGUAAAAUCUUGGAUCCAGUCAAAGCAGUGCAGAACUCAGCAGUUACAAUUACAUGCCCUGUAUUCUCACCACACCCUCGAAGUACACAAGUCUUUUGGGAGGCUGUUUAUGGAGACAGAGCUGAUCAUAUAUACCAGUGCCCCUCCUCCUGCACUUCAGCAAGCAACAACAGAACAGCUAAUCUCUGCUCAAGAGCAAGAACAGAAGAGGAUCCAGAAAGGGGAGCUAGAUCACUGACCAUUAGUCCUGUGAACUCCUUAGAUGCUAUCUGGUAUCGGUGUACAGUGAAAGCUGGCCAUGUAAAAUACUGUUCUGAAGUUAAAGUUAUUGUGAAAGAUGAGCCUCCGGUUCAGCUUUUGACUAAAGACUGUAAAAACAUUGGCACGUUCAAAGCAGCACUGAACUCAGCAUUCACGUUCACAUGGCCUGUGCCUACAUCAUAUUCUGGAGCCACGCAGGUGAUCUGGUGGACCAUUGAAGGAGACAAGACUGUUCCGAUAACACGCUGCCCAUCUCCCUGCACCUCCAGCAGAGCCCGAAGACCCCUUUGUGAAAGAGUUAAAACAGUGCAGGGUGCAGGGAAUGUAUCACUGACCAUAAAUCCUGUAAAGUCCACAGAUGCUUUGUGGUAUUGGUUUAGAGUGAUGAAUGCCACCUCAUGCAAUGCAUUCAUGCUUUCUUUCACAGGUAACACCUCUCCUUAUCAGACAGCUAAAGUCACAGGUGGUUCCCACGCAGGGCUCAUCAUUCCAGAGCCAUCAGAGAACAGUACUGAAGAGACUGCAGAAGUCAACAACUUUACUGUGACAGUGACUGUGGCCUCAACAGUCUCUGUAUGCAUCUUUGUGGCCCUGUUGGUGCUAUUGGUGAGAGCACGUCAGUGUUUCAGAAAAUGGAAGAAGAAGGGUGUACGCAAAAUUAAGCUUGAGAGUCAGUAUAAUGCAUAUGCAGAAAUCGCAGACAAGGGUGAGUGUAUUCACAUAAAAAAAGUUUGGCCACUAUUGUUGUAGUCAAGACUGCUAUAUAUAUAUAUUGCUGUUGUUGGAAGAAAACCUUGUAUCUCCGAAAUGGUAACUAUACAGAAGAUGGAAAAACCUAAUUUAUUUUUAAUGGAAGUCAAUGGAACCAAUGGAGUAUUUUCCAAGUAAUUUUGGGCCGUUUCUUUUGAUCCAUUCAUCAUGAAACUUACACCAAAUGUAAAGAGCAGCAGGCGUUUUCAAAUUAUGUUAAAAACUGAAAAACUACAAAAAUGGAGAUACAAGGUUUUGUUCCGACAACAGUUAUAUAUAAAAAUAUAUAUGAUCAGGCAUAACAUUGACCUUCCUUCCUUGUUUCUACGCUCAUUGUCCAUUUUAUCAGCUCUGCUUACUGUACAGGUGCACUUUGUAGUUACAGUUACAGAUUGUAGUCCAUCUGUUUCUCUGAAACUUUGUUACCCCCUUUUACCCUGUUCUUCAUUGGCCAGGACCCCCAUGGACCCUCACAGAGCAGGUACUAUUUGAGUGGUGGGUCGUUCUCAGCACUGCAGUAACACUGACUUGGUGGUGGUUGUGUUAGUGUAUGUUGUGCUGGUGCGAGUGGAUCAGACACAGCAGUGCUACUGGAGUUUUUAAACACUGUGUCCACACACUGUCAACUCUAUUAGUCACUCCUACCUUGUCAGUCCACCUUGUAGAUGUAAAGUCAGAGACGAUAGCUCAUCUGCUGCUGAACAGUUUGUGUUGGUCAUCCUCUAGUCCUUCAUCAGUGGUCACAGGGCGCUGCCCACAGAAGGAGCACCACCAUCAAUGUUGCUGCUGAGAAUUAUCCACCAUUACAGUUUUAGUAAGGCCUAACCAAUGGUGAAGUUAUUUUCUGUUGUUCUCUUAUCUAAAACUUAAUCAGAAUCAUCAGCCCAAGUCAAAUUAACAACUAAACUUUUUUUAUUAUUACAGGAACACACAGUGAUAACAUUCUGAUCUGCUUCCAAUUUGCUGUUUGAAUUUUGUAACCAAAGAACAUCAACAAAUAAUUAUCCAGACAUUAUCAAUUAAAUCCUCUGCCAACAGAGAUUUAUAGAAACAUUCGCAAGUGUUUUCACACUGUGGACAUUUGUGGUAUUACAGUUUUUUUUUCAAAUUCAAAGUCCUUACCAUAGACAUUUAACCCAAGGUAAUUUUCAAUAUAGAUCACUGAUUGUACUGGCAAAAUGCUACAUAAUUAUGUUUAUAUUUUCAGUGCAGGUAUAACUAAAACAAAGGAAAUACAGCAAAGAAUAAGUAGUACUAAUUUAUGGUUUCGAGACCAGCCUCAAGACUACUACAACACUACUGGUUACACUAUGAAAGAGUAGCCAGAUACAUUAUCACAUGCACAUGUACUGAAUGUUUUUCUCCAUCCUUUGUUUUCCUCUUCUUCUCUUUAGAUACCUUCCUGUAUUCGUUAGUCCAGCAUGAUCCUGCAAGCAUGUGCACUUGUAAGUUACUGUUGUGACGAUGAAUCAGUUAUUUUUCAGGUUUAAUUUGUACCUGGAAUUUCAUUGCAUAACAACAACAACAACAACAACAAUAAUAAUGAUAAUAAUAAAACUUUUGACAUUAAUAAUUCAUUGAAAAAUCUAAUUUACACAAUAUAGUUGUUAUUCCAAAGUCAGUCUGCUAUGUCUGGUGUCUGUAAUUUGCAUCUUUAGUCUUUCACUGUAGCAACAAGGAUAAUAUAACUAACAAGUAAUGGAAGAGUGUGUUAUUCAACAUUCUUUUGAAUGGUGUAGAUGGCUCUAUUAUUAGGUUUCUAACUCCAAGACAAAACUAAAGAAGCAAAUUAUUGAUGUUUAAGGUAUGGAGGAAAUUGUAGAAAUGUGAUUUCAUUCUAUGAUAUGCACUUUAAUAUCACCAGUUCAUUAUCAUGUAUAAUACGAUGACAAACAUAUAUUUAUUAAUGUAUAUAUUUGUUAUUACUGUGUUAGUAAACUCUCUUCAUUUGACAUGAAAAUAAAGUGGAAUUCGGAUUACACUCACUGGCCACUUUAUUAAGUACACCUGUUCAAUUGCUUAUUAACACAAAUAGCUAAUCAGCCAAUCACAUGGUCGCAACUCAAUGCAUUUAAGCAUGUAGAGGUGGUCAAAACAACUUGCUGAAGUGCAAACCGAGCAUCAGAAUGGGGAAGAAAGGUGAUUUAAGUGACUUUGAAUGUGUAAUGGUUGUUGCUGCCAGAUGGGCUGGUCUGAGUAUUUCAGAAGCUUAUCUACUAGGAUUUUCACACACAACCAUCUCUAGGGUUUACAGAGAAUGGUCAGAAAAAGAGAAAAUAUCCAGUGAGCAGCAGUUGUGUGGACGAAAAUGCCUUGUUGAUGUGAGAGGUCAGAGGAGAAUGGGCAGACUGGUUCGAGAUGAUAGAAAGGCAACAGUAACUCAAAUAACCAACCAAAAUCUCUGAGGAAUGUUUCCAACACCUUGUUGAAAGUAUGUCAUGAAGAAUUAAGGCAGUAUUGAAGGCAAAAGGGGGUCCAACCUUUCACUAGUAAGGUGUGCCUAAUGAAGUAGCCGGUGAGUGUAUAUAAUAGCAAAUCAGUCCAACACAAAUGAGCCUAUGAAAUUAUAUAAAAUCCUGUGCUGAACAAACAAUUAAAUUAUGGCUAAUAUUAUUUUCACAUUUAUCUCCCAACAGUUAAGAACCAGUGAGAAAAUCCCAGCCCAGUUUCAGAUUGUGUUUUUGAUGUGAUUUUUAUUUUCUUCUCACUUGUUUUCUUUGUUUUUGAGACAUAAAAAAACAUCAGUACAAUGAUUAGAAUGCCUGUAUACUUGAGCAUUGACUCAAUGCUUUAUGAUGUUGACUGUGUGUUGACUGUGAAUGUUCACCUUUAUGUCUUAAAUAAAUAAAUACUCUAAAACCUUUUCUUCAUGUUUCUUUUUCCGAAAGGGGAAAAUUUUCAGAAACAGAUUUACAAGCUUUAACAAUAAAUACACACCUAAAACAGGGCAAUACAGUCCAUGGUAUAGUCCAUAGAGCAACAAUACAUCAGAUAAACAGGUGGUUAUUUGUACUGGUAAAGAAAGUGCAUAAGGUGCCUAAAUCAUAAAUACAGAGUUAGAAUGAAAGUGCAAAAAUGUUUAGAAUGUAAAGACAGAUGUUGGAGCAAAUAGAAAUUAAAGUUUUGAAGAGAACAGUUGUCACUUAUCAAGUAUGAAGUAGACAUGCUGGUGUGUAAAUAAUUAUUUAGUGAAUCCAGUGAAUGUGUUAGAGUAAAAUUCUCUUUUUCUAGCAUUGGGAGAUCUGGUGCCACUUUCUGGAAAGUAGAGGGCCAAACAGGUUGUGUCUGUGUCUGUAUGCAAACAAGCGGAGACACAGUGAAAUGAGCCUUGUGUCCAGCAGGGCUGGAGUGGGAUUUGUUUUCAUACAGAGAGUUAUGUGUUGCAGAUCAACCCACCCCUCUAAACUCUAGCUGGUGAUAAAAUGAAAACAGCUGGAAACUGUCUUAAAUGUGACCAUGGGAGUCAAUAUGCUACAAAUUUAUGGAAGUUAAGUAAGUUAAAAUCAGCAUUUCUCACUACCCACCUGCUCAGCUUUUCUUCUUGUCUUCCUUAAGCAGGUUUUUUUUUUAUUCUUGUCUUCUCUCAUUCAUGAUGCAAAACUGAUAUUCUCUGUUAGAAAUGUGCUAACGGCCAAGAGAGCUGAAAUGCGGCAAUACAGAAGCUCUCUGGAUGUUUACUCUUUGUCAAAAACAAGAAAAGAAAAAGGAGCCAAGAAAAUAAGAACCUAACAUCAACCUCAAGAAAUUAGUGUAUCAAAUUCAGCAUGAUUGUUUGAAUCUGGUGCUGACUGUCACACUAGGCAGAGGUGUACAGAGUUUACAUUUUUACAUUACUGUUUUUACAUUACCAGUACUGUAAUUUUCAGUAGGAAUAAUGUGAACUUCAACUUUGUGUAAAAUCAGCAAAAAUCAGUAAGCCUAAAUUAUUACAGAAAUACACUGAGAUGUAACAUUUUGUGAUGUGUACAGAAUCGCAGACGAACACAGAUAAAAUACAAGUGUGAUUUAAUAAAACCAAAUCACCAGUUGUCAAAAGGGCAAGCCAAGGUCAAAAAACACAGAUCCAAAACACAAGCAAAGGUACAAAAAGGGCAAGGUAAAAGUUGAGUAGUCAACAAACAAAAUCCAAGGUCAAAACACAUGAGAAUAAACAGCAUGACGGAAAACCACUCGGUAAGUCUCAGAGAAACAAUACUUUUAUAGUUUAACCUGAGAGUCAUGUGAUCCCAACACAGGUGGAUAGUGUUAGUAAUCUGGAGACUGAGAUCUCUGAUAGGAGCGUGGUGGAGAGUAGGAAGUCACGUGAGACUCCAGAGGAUUCUGGGAGAUGGAGUCACUCCCCUCUAUGGAAGAAUGAUCUGUAUGUGUGACACAUUUAUAGUUUGUCAGAACAUUCUUGCGCUUACAUGCGUCAAU